UGCUCCUAGUACGAGAGGACCGGAGUGGAUGCAUCACUGGUGUUCGGGUUGUCAUGCCAAUGGCACUGCCCGGUAGCUAAAUGCGGAAGAGAUAAGUGCUGAAAGCAUCUAAGCACGAAACUUGCCCCGAGAUGAGUUCUCCCUGAGACUUAGAGUCUCCUGAAGGAACGUUGAAGACGACGACGUUGAUAGGCCGGGUGUGUAAGCGCAGCGAUGCGUUGAGCUAACCGGUACUAAUGAACCGUGAGGCUUAACCUUACAACGCCGAAG
rnacentral:rRNA from 1 species